CUUCCACCACAAUAGACUCUAUUCUUUUUUUGUCCCCUCGCCAACCUACUCACGCUCACAACUCUCUCGUUCUCCGUUUCUCACGGUGCUUCCUUUUUUUUUCCUUCGGCUUUCUUUCUUCGCUUGUGGUUUCGUUCACUCUCGUGUGAUUUGCACGCGCACGCGUUCGAGUCCCUCGGUCUCUCCCCGUUCCUCAUCUCGCUCCCUCCUCCUUUCUUCUCCCAGUGAUUCGCAUCUUUGUGCCCUCUGAGUUUCUGCCCGUCUGUCUUGGCCUCUCUGUGUUUCUCGGGCCCAUCACCCCCCUCCCCCCAACCACACCCACGACCACACAAGAAGGAACGAAUUCCUCAAGAACUCUGUUGAGCGGACGACAGAUUCCCAAAGAAAAAGUGAGCGAGGAUAUACACAAGGCAGCUGCGGCAGCGUUCCAACACGCGCAGACAGGUACAGGCGCCCACGUGUGAAAAGGAAAAAAUCGAUUUCGAUCAGCACCCAUCUUUGUGUUUUUUUUCUCCUGACCCUUUUUUGGCACACAAAGUCUCUCCUUCCAAACACAGCUGGCACGACUGCUGCUGCCGCCCCCCUCCCCCCUUCCCUUGGCCAUCGCCACCCACCCCCCUUUGCACACGUACCUUGAAAGAGACCACGAAGGGCGGACGCACAGAGUAAAAGGGCAUUGUCAGACUCUUCGCGGUUUCGCUUGUUAUUUUAUUCCUUUUUUAAAUUUGCCUUCUCGCUUGGCUUAUUCUUUUUUUCGUUGUCAUUCCACGUUUUCCUUUCUUCCGUCUCUGUCCGCGGUGGCUCGGAUAAGAGGCACGCGCGCAACAAAAAAACACGCGCCUAAAUACACGCGUGCCUACACCGGCACGCCCCUCCUCUCUCCUCCCUCCACCCUCCUUCUGUUCCUUUCCGUUCCUUUUUUUUUGUGCUUUCAUGGGUGUUAUGUCAAACGUCUGACACACACACACAUACAUAUAUACAUAUACACACACAUAUCUAUAUAUAUAUUCCCCUUUCUCGCUGACUGUCACUCUGUAGUCUGCUUGUCGGUGUAUUGCGCCUAUAGUGUGCGUCGGUCGAAGAACGGCUGCCUUCGUGCGCCUUUCUUUUUCAUCUUUCCGUUCUUCUCGUACCACACAGGAAGACACCAAACACACUCCCUGUCUCCGCUCUUCGCUCUCCCCCGAGAUUGGAAGGCACGCAUUUCAUUGUUUUUUUUUAUUGUUGCCCCUUUUUUUUUUCUUUGAAGCCGUUCGGCCCUUUUCUUUUCCCUUUUGUGGUGUGAUAAGUGCGUGCGAGAGUGGUGCUCUCGAGUUUGCGUGUGUUGAGCCCCCCCCCCCCCCCAAGGGAGGACAGAUCCGCUUUGCCUGUUCCGUGGCAACUGGCUCCUUCCACUCGUGCUCUUCUCGACCUCACAGUCUUGCCGCCGGUCCUGUCACUCGCUUGUUUGCUCUCUUCUUCGACCGCCAUUGCCCAUGCACCACGCCCUUCUCCCGCCUCCUCCCUCUGACUGCAUCCCAUCGUUUUCGCCAUCAGCUCCCACGCAGAAGCGUGUACUUGGCUCACGAACCAAUUAGCUCGCUCCCUUUUCUCGCUGGGCCCUCCCCCUGCUGCACCGUCGCUCACACCACGAAAACGACCUUCCCCCAGCCCACCCCUUGUUUUGCAAACGGACACCUCCGAGCACACAGACACAUAGAAGUGGCUCACGCCAGGACAAAUCGAGAGAAAGGCUACCGCGGCAAGGCCGACACCAGCGGAGCUUCCGUGCAGCCGAAGCAAAGGUGCCAAUCGGAGGAAAAGCAACAGAACUUUAAAGGUUAAAAAUCACGAAAGAAAGGGAAGACACACACACAUACACACAGAGGAUACGACGAAUCGAAAAUCGGAAAGAAUAAGCGAAAAUCAACAAAAAGUUGCGUGCGGAGUACGCCGUCCCUGCUUGGCACCCACACCCACACCCACACCCACCCACCCACACGCAUACACAAAGCACUCGCAUACAGUCUUUCCCUCUUCUCCCCCACCCCCAAAACGUGCCAGCUCAACGCAGAAGUAAAAGGCACUAUUGAAAGCGCUGGCAACGAGUACACUGUCACACUUCUCUCCUUGUAUCUUUAUCUUCCUUCUCCCCUUUCGCUUCUUGUCCUUAUCUAUUCUCUUUCCCACUCGCUCCCCCUUCUCUUGCCCAGUGCCCCCACCCCCCAUUGGCCUCUUUUUGUCUUUCAAUAUUUCUUGUACUUUUGAUUUUUUUGCCCCCCCCCCCCCCCCCCCCCCCCCGCCCGCUCCUCUCUCUUCAACCUGUCUGCCUCCCCUCUGCCUCUCUCUUCCUCGUUGUUUCUUUCUCGCUGCCCUGCUCACUUACCUCCCCUUCUUCCCCCCUUCCCCUUUCACUCCCCUUCCUCCACUCGCGUAUACGACUUCCCCCUCUUGCCCGUCUUCUAUUUUUUUUUUUGGCCUCUCCUCACCACAUUCUCCUCCUCUCCCCCUAUUUUUACUGUUUGUUCUUCCCUUCCCCCUCGUCUGUUCACUGUGGGGGGGGGGUACCUUGUCGACUGUGUGUGUGUAUUUUAUAUUUUGUUGUCUUGUCACACCAUCUGUGCCGGGGCGUCUGUGUGUGCGUUGGAGCGGAUCGCCGUGUUGCAGAGAAACUCUUUUACGCCUCGUUUCUCCAAGGCUGGCGCUCGUCUCCUUACCUUGCACCUCCCUCUCUCUUUUCAUUUCCUAUUACUGCAUUCCUGACGUACACUCAGGUCGGAGCGCGCCGCCCUGCAGACGCACGUAUGCACAUACGGGCCCACUGAUUCAUGCACACGUGCACGACCCUAGGCCCCGCCAGUCGCCUUCUUUGCUCUUUUUCCUUUGGUUGACGUCUCUCUUCCUUCUUGGCUUUCGCUUUCCACUCACGCGGUGUAUGCGUGUGUGUCGCUUUUCUGUCAUUCAAGAGCCUCUUUACACAAAAGAAUCCCUUUUCCACCUUUUCCUCCCUCCCCCUUCCUUCCCGUCUUCGGCUUUUCGUUUCGCUGCUUCCGUUGCUGUGCUCGUGGUGGAACCUGACGCGCGGAACCACGUACCACACACAAACACACACAUACAUACACAAAUCAGCAAGAGGAAUUCACGAGCGGCUCACACACAAAACACGGAGAAACGGCUCCACUACUUUACCUCUCCGUCGUUUCUCUCCAUCUUUGUUUUUCUCCCUCCUUUUCCGUCUUUUUUUUUGAUUCUCCUCUUUCUUUUCUCGCUUCUCGUAGGCUCUUCGUUUUACGGUUUGCACACUGCCGUUCAUCUUGUUCACGCCCCCCCCCCCCCCCCCCCCCCGCAUCCUCCCCUCCUCCUCUCUUCCUCAGCUCCGUCUUUGCUCACUGCUGGCGUGUGCCGGUGAGUGCGAGUGCGACUGUAUUUUCGCUUCCUUAUCGCUGCUCCUGCUCUUGUCGGUGCGCCUGCGUGCCAUUGGACGAGAUUCCUCAGUAGUGUGUGGACGAGGGGCAACAGAAGGUUUCCUCGACUUGUGCACUCUCUUCUUCGCCUCCCUUGCGGCUCGAUUCAUCUGUCUCGCAGCCGCUCUCCGCGCGCGCAUGUGCGCCGUCGUUUUCCCACCGGCUCACAAGAAUCAUUCCUCCACAUUCGCACCAGGUGCAGCGGCACUUCUCUCUGCGCGUUCUCCUUUUUUUUGAUUACGACUGGAGCUCCCUUUUUCUUUUUUUUCACCUUUUCAUUUUCGUCCUUUCCUCCCUUGGCGCUCGCUUCUUUUUGCGUAAAAUCUAUUUCCUGCGCCCCCCCUCCUCCCCUCCCUCCUUUUUGUUGUUUUUCUUUUCCGCUUCUGUGUUGGUGCGGCCGAUUUGAUUUUGUUCGUGUGCGCUCUAUCUUGGCUGCGGGUGCUGGAGUGCCUGUGCGCGCGUGCGUGUGCGUGCAUAAAAUCUUGUGUUUUGUCGUGUCCACAGACUCAUUUCUUUUUUUUUGUUGUUGUGCUUUUGAGGUCUUUUGGCUUUUUUUUUGUGUGUGUGUGCCUCUCUCUCUCUCUGCGUGUGCGUGUGCGUGCGUGCGUGCAUUCCUUCAGAAGUAGAAUCGCCCCCCCCUCUCCCCCCUUUGACUUUGCCGGUUUUGUUCAUUGGAUUUGCGUGCACCUCCUCGUAUCACCCUCUCUAUCUACGGGGACGUGUGCCAAGGCGAGUGCGGCGCGUAAACACGAAGGAAAAGCCUUCCUUCUCCUCCACCUUCCCUCGCCUCCAGAGAAGCGAACAGCGACAGACAGACAGACAGACACACACACAUACACACACACACACACACACAGACACGAGACGCAAAACAAGUGUUUUGGUAUUGCCUACCUCAUUUUCUCACUCACCGUGUCGCAACGAGCUCUAUUCCCUUUUUUCUCGCAUUACUCUUGUAUGCCUCUGCGAAUACGUCCCUUUUAGCUUCCCAUAUAUAUAUAUAUAUAUUUCAUUGCUCUCUGUCGCUGCGGCUCUGUCUGAGUCUGUGUUGUCUUUUAAUUAUUUUUUUUUUCCACUUAUACCAAAUCUCGCUUUCUAUACAUACGUAUCUGUCAAAGAGUCUGUUGCUCAAAACCCUCCCUUCCACUGCCCACCUCCUCACCGCCGCCUAACAACACACACGCGCACACACACACACACACGCGCAAAAAAAAAACGGAGCACAAAGAGGCGUAAAACAUCGGACGGCAAACAGACCAACAAGCAAAAAGAAUCCGAAAAAAAAAAAUAGAUCAGCGACGCAAUUCCUACUCCUUCUCUUGCCCCUUUUCCUCGUUCUUUUCUCCCAUUUCCAUCUUACUGGCGGGGGGCCUCCCUCUCCCUCCCUGCCUGCCCCUCUCCUCCCCCUCACCACCACCACCAAAAAAAAAAAACGCACGCACGUUACACCUUGUGGGGAUCCCUCUCCCUUUCUCACCACCACGCGCAAGCUCAGCCUCGUCGCCGUUGCGCUUUGUUCUCUCCAUUUGUGUUGCCUAUUCUUGCUUGCUCGCGGCCUCUCUGUCUGUCUCGCCGUGCGCGUGUAGCAAUUUGGUGUUGCUCGAAUUCUUUUUCACCCAUUUUCCGUUUUCGCGCGUUGUUCGUGAAGGAUGUGAGCUGCCCUUCCCUCCUCUCGUCUCUCUUUUCCCGCUCCGUUUCUCCUCUUACGUUCUCCUCUUCACACUCCAAAACCACCUCCGUGUAUCACCUACCUCGUCUCUCUUUUUCUUUGUACGCUCCUUGUCCGGAUCAACGUGCAUUUCCUCUGGUCUCCCUUUCGCCCUAUUCUACUUGAUUUCUAUCUCCGUUCUGCCUGAGCUUGCGUGUCUGUGCGCGAUUUACACGUUGCCGGCCCCCUCCCUCCCUCCUCAUCCCUCUUUCUCCAUAAUCUUUAUCAAGGUUUUAUCUAUCCGAACUUGUGUAGCGGAUCACCAACAAAAAAAAACGUGACGCACCCAAACACACAACGGCAGCAGAAACUCUUUUUUUUUACGCUUCUGUUUGCCGAUUUUCUCUUGGAUUGGAAGAUAACUACUUCCCCUUGCCGUUCCUCUUCUUUUCGGUUCUCUCCGCGCGCGUCUGUGCUUGUGAUUGCGCGUACUACAUCACCACUGAAGUUGCUGUUUUCGUUUGGCGAAGCGGGCACGAGUAAUCCGCCUUUUUCUGGAUUUUUGGUUUUCUUCACCUCAUCUCCUGUCUUUCUGUCUUCCUGCCUCUCACUCCCCCGCUAUUCAUUGUUCUCCCUUUCUUGCUUUGUCUCGCUGUCCUCUUCCUUUUCUCUGUGAUUUUGUUGCCGUUGUCUUUCAUCUCUUCGCUCCUAUAAGGGCCACGUGUGUGUGUGUGUGUGCUUGUGCGUACCAGAACCCGUUUUUUUCUCUUGCCCGUCCCCCUCCCUCUCUCUCUGUCUGCCGUCUUUUUUUUGUUUGCUUGUGCGCUUGCUUGUCCCUGCCCACGUGCUCCUCUCCUUCCAUCUCCCAAUCUCCGCGUAUCUGUCCCCCUUUUUCGACUUGUUUCGCGACUUGUUGUGAAACUGCGUGGGUGUCGUCGUCGUCUUGCCGUUGUGAGAUCGACGCUGCUCUGUCUUUUUUUUUCCUUUGUUGACGGCUCCUUCUCCGUAUUUUGUUUUCCAUUUGGCCGUCCGAACAUUUUUUUUUGCAUAUUUCGUCUUUGUGGGUUCACGUUAUCGUUUCUCGUGCCUCUCUUCCCCUCGUCCGUCCCCGUCAUCUUUUCGUCUCUCUCUGUUGUGUGUGUGUGUGUGUAUGUGCUUGAAAAUCUAUUUGGCGUUUUUGUUUCCCCCUUUGUUGUUGUUCCACCACGCGCGUUUUUCUGUUGGUCACAUCUUCGCCUCACCUUUUUCAAGUUUUCUUUGACAACCUUUCUGUUUGUUCACACUUUCUUCGUGCGUGUUCGACUCUACCCCCACGCCCUUCUCGCUCUCUCGGGUCCCCCACGUGUUGCUGUCUUCAGUAGGACGGACUCUCUCACACGACAACAGACCACGGGAAAACAAAUAACAAAGAAAAACUGAACGCGGCUUCUGCGCUCCUCUGAUACUUGGGUGUCGUACUUCACAGUGAUCGUCGUGGGGUGACCCCCACCCCUCCCAAAAAAAAAAAAAACAGAAAGAUAUUCUUUUUUACCGUCUUUUUCACAAUUGGGCUUCGCCUUGUUCUCAUCCCACCCCACCAUUUUCUUGAGCGGCGCUCUUCUCUGUUUUACAUUUUUUUUCGUUGGUGUUCCCUUUUUUUUUCGUCUAACCCCGUUGCUUAUUUUUCUUUUCGCCUUCUACCUUCAUAUCUGUGGCCUGUGCCAUCUGCAUCUCCCGGCCCCGGGGGGCUCGCGUGACAAUAACUUGCGACCCGGUGCACCCAGUAGGGUUACAACCCUCUUGCCUGCUUAAUCGGUCUCCUUGGCUCUGUAAGCACGCUGCAACCCUCCCAAAUUUUGUACGGACUCGGGCAAACAAAAAACAGCGACGGUGAAGAGGCGAGCAAGUGUUCUUUGCAGUCAGCAACAACAACAGCAACGGGCCCCCAUCUUCCUCCCCUUCCUUCACACAAGCUAACAGGAUCCACAAAGACAACAGCGGAGGAGCACAUAGAGGACUGUGUGUUGCUACGUGUGUCUCUGCUGUUCCCUCUCGUUGCGCUCAUUCCUUUCUCCCUCUUUUUUUUGGCUCCCUCGCUUUAUAUUUGUCUACGUGUGCUCUCGCUCUCGAUCUUUUUUUCGGUUGUUGCUGGUAGUGUUUGCGUAAAAUUGUAUAUUCCUUUGAGUUGACCCCUCACCCUUUUCCUUUUCUCGUGUGGGGCUCCUGCUCCCUUCGGUGCGCGACUGUUUUCUGCUUGUGUGUGCGUGCGUGCGCGUGUGCUCCUUUUUUUUUGCUUCUUCCGCUCUCUUCGAGGGGCUCAUACGAAUAUAUAUAUAUAUAUAUAUACAUACAUAGAAGACACACCGACACACAUAAAUACACACACACACACACACACGCAAGGGACCCCCUUUUUGCCGUAUAGCUUCUCAUCUUUGACUUGUUCGUUGCCCUCUCGUGCGCUUCGCGGGCUCGACACUCGGGAAAACCUCGAGGCAAUUAUUUUUCUUUUUUUUUGUGUUUGUCGCCUUUGCGUCUCGCUCUCGAUUAUAUUUCUGCGGCUGACAGACUCGUCCCUCGCUCUCUCCGUACAAGGAUACAUUAUUCCAUACGUGCAUCUUGGCGCCUUUUGUUUUUUAUUCUUGAGGUUUGGUCGCUCUGCAUUGGUUCUCCUGUCAUCGGGUCUCUCUCUUAUUUCCUUACGUGUACUUUUUUUUUGUCGUUGCUUCCCCUUUUACGAUCUUUUUUUUCUCCUUUCGAUUACGACUCUAGCGUCGCGUCACGUUGCGUGUGUGUGUGUGUGGAAGUGCCCUCCUUCUCUUUCUUCAACGCCACGAAAGCAACAUAAUCAGUGGCUGCGUCGGUUCAUUGAACGAUUUUCUUCCCCCAUCCCCUCUCUUCUUUUUUUCAGUCGUAUUGUCCUUGAUCGCUUGACUUUUAUACACCAUUUUUUAGUUUGAAGCUUCUACAUCGCGGUACCGGUUUCGUGCGCGCGUUCUUGUGCACCGCCGGCUGCUCUUGCUUCUGCAUAUCGCUGUCCCCGCUGGCAGCGUUGGUUGCACCUCCCCUCACCCCCCUGCGCCUGAGUGAGUGUGAGCGUGUUUUCGCACCUUUCACGCAUCCUUUUUUUUUUCGUUUUGUGUUUUCUCGUGCUGCUUGUUGUGCACCGCGCGCUAUGUACAAAUUCCAGUCUUCGUCCCCUCUUUCCACCCAUAACUGCGCUACUACCGCCACCAGCACACCCCCAGCUGCUGCCGCCCUUCCCGGCGCUCAGAGCUUCGCUUCGCUCGCCACUGCGCGGCUUCCCCGGGGUUCGGGGCUUUCACGGAACAUUCUGGCCGACGACAUGGACAACCUGCUGAGCAGCAGCGACUUCACUGCGACGUUGUUGCCGUGGGCCGUUUUCAGUUCUUCAGACGUCCCCGAAGUGACUAAGAGUGAGCAGCAGCAGCAGCAACAGGCACCCUCGCAGGCCUUCAGACGCCUGCCGACUCCUGUGCAGACAAGAUCGAUUCCUUUUAUGCCCAGCAUGGACGGUCCCUUCCCCUUUUCGGAUUCUGCAGGCGGUGAGGCUCCACAGCAGUUCUCCGCAUUGCCGUUGCAACAGCGACACCCGUCGUUUAUUUCCCAGAGCUUCUCCAAGGAGUUCCGCACAGUGAAUCAGUACACCGCGUCUUCCUUUGUGCACGCGCUCGACACGAAAGCUUCUGCCGCCACCGAUCCCCACCUUGUGAGCGCCCACGGCAGUUUUCCGAUGCCAUUGAACGCGUCGUCGGCGAACCAGGCGGAAGGGGAAAAUCUAAGCUGUGCCAUCUCCUACAGCAACAACCACGGGGAGGCUUGCGGCGAUGAGCGGUCGCGACCAUCGCGUCAAGCACACGUGCACGGGAGCGCUUCAUUCUUCUCAGCGUCGCUGUCGUCGAGAUCUUCCUCGUUACUGUCGCCAUUGACGCCCGCUCCAGAGGAGCACAUUACCGGGUACACCUCCGUUAUCCUGCCGACGGUGCCUCCCUCCUUCACCGGCGAAGACUACUACGAACAUGCGAUGCAUGUUCAGGUAGAGUUUGUCAAGCAGCUGUGCGACGGCACUGGUGGCAACGAUAGCAACGGGAGCGGCAAGCUGGAGGAGUUGGGCAGGUCGUGCGAUACGUCUCGCAGCUCUUCGCUGCAACGCCUGCAGCAGUCGGCUUCUCUGCACGUGAAGGCAGGCAGCUUUGACGGCCUGUCGGCAGCACCGGGGUCUCGAGCGGCCAUGGGGGCGGCGGCAUCGAGUGCGCCGGUUGCACCGGCGCCGCCGCCUUUGAGCACGUUCCAACCACUCAGCACUGCCACGACUGGCUCGGACGAGUAUCGGGCGUAUUCGUCCGCCAGCGCCGCCGGUGCUGGCACCGUGCAGGACGCACCGACCGGGGUCAACCAAUUGAAAGGCAGCGCGCACGCGCAGCUUCAGGCGUCUUCGGGGGACUUCCAAACACCGCUGUUGCCGUCGCAGGGGAUGGUCCUCCUCCAGCUGCCGCCGCCGCAGCAUCGAGCUCCUUUUACUUCAUCUCCGUUGCUGGCGCAGACGUGGACUAGCACUGCUGGGGCUGCGAAUGGCGAAGAAGUGGCUGCCCCCAGUAGCGGCCAACAGCAACUUCAAUUAAACGCUCAUUCGCAGUCGAACUCGCGCCAGUACUCUGUCGGGGCCACAUCAGGGGCGGCGACGUUUGUAGGUCCGGCUUGGUCUGGCAGCGGUGUCUACACAACUUCACCAGCGCAAUCCUUCAAUGCUUCCAAUGGCUACCACACAGGCAGCGGCACGCCCCCGUCAGGUGGCCCAGCACAUCUGAUCAUGUUAGUGCCUGCGUCCAGUGAAAACUCGUCUACAGGCCACUCGACGCAAGCUCAGCAACACCUUUACGCCAUGCAGGUGCCGGCUCAGACUCUCUCUACCAGCGAGACAGCCGCCGCGCCUCGUUAUGUAUCUUCUCACUGCAGUGGCGCUGUACCGUCCCCAUCGAUGCAGCUGUCGAGCCCCACAACGGUGGCUUCUGGUAGCGGUGCCAGUGCCGUCCCCCUGCUGUACGUAACAGCACCGACAGCUUUUGCGGGGUUCCCGCCCACGGCGGCGGGGCGUCAGGUGAACACAUCGCCCCCCUCCAGCGUCUCUGGCCACUCGUGCUCCGUCAGCAUGACACAAGCUUCUGCACCAGAGAUAUCUUCGCCGAGCUCGCACUACCUGUACCUGCACACCUAUCCUCCAGCGAACCACUCGCCAUCGCGGCCGCUGCCCCUGCAGCAGUACUCAGGGCACUUCCCCUCACAAGUGCCUAGCGCGGGUAUGCCGAAAGCGGCCGAGCAGGCAGCCUCGGCCUCCCUGCACGCCAGGACGCCAUCGCCCUUGGGCACGGCAGCCGCAGCGCAUCUGCCGCACGCCAUGAGCACCGAGGCCUUCUCUCCAGGCAGCAAGAUGGCUGGGCUGAAGUGCCCUAGCAUCCGGCCGGUAGCGCCUGCGACAAGCACAGAUAUGCUGCGCAAGCAGGUUAAUGUCCACGGUGCCAUGAUGAACGUGCUGCCCUUUUACCCGUACAACGAGAGUGCCCCACCCGCGCUGACGGCGCCAAUUGUGACGGGGACCCGAUCGGCCAGCAACAGCACUCUCGUGCAGUCCUUGAGCGGGUCGGGCUGGUCGUCGCGGUCCGUGAAUAGCAACACAGAGUGCAACCUGGACGGAAGUCGGCGAUCACUGGACGGUUUUAGGAGCCACGAUGGAGCGAAGGCGUCCUCUUGCACGUUGAGAGGUGACACGCCCUCGCUGGAGAACGCGCCUGUGUUGCCCAUUUUCAUUCAAAUGUUUCCGUGCGAACUGCGUGACCGCGUCGGCCUACUGAACCGCGUGAUAGAAGCGACGUGCGGGCGUGACGCUGGUCUUGUGCAGAGCUUCGAAACCCGUUCCGAAACAUCCUUCAUCGCCCAUGUGCGGACGAACAACGUGUGGGAGUUGAUCUACAAGUUGCGGUGCCGUGUGCUGAUGGAUCGGUUUGGCUUCUGGUACGCGGCCGACAUCGAUCAGUAUGUGCGCAUGAAGGAGUACUGCGAAAGUGUUCGGCGCCUGCCGCAGCAGACGAGGCAUUUCCAGACUGAUGGGCUGCCCUGCAUGCCGCUCGUCGUGGAGCUGUCGCGCUCACUGGAUCGCGGGCUGGUCCCUGAAAACACUGGACCGCGCUGCUUCGACGAGCUCGUGCCGAUCGCCGCCGUGGAUCGCCAUCGUUCCCGCCUGCAAGGGUCGUCGUCGGCGCACAAUGGCCACUCCAACGCGAGCAUGAGCGGCAAGGCCGUGGCCGCCAGCGGCGCCUCUGCAGCUGGCGGUAGCGUUCUCCUCACUAGCGUUGGCGAUGUGCGAUCGCUGCAUGGCGGGUCGCCGGUUUUUCCGACCAACAAUGGCCAUGCGAUGAUGUUGUCACCGCACAUGGUGCCAGUAUUGGCGGGUGGUAGCUACAGGGCUGGCGGUAGCACGAGUGGCAGCAGUGCGCAGGUGAUUCACAUGGACCCAAAGUUCCUGCCACCAUCCUUUGCCAUGUAGCGAAGUCCGUAAAAAGUGCGCCCGCAGACACACAAGCGCUGAGCGUGUCACGCCAACCCUCGUGGCUCCUCUUUUGCCUCUAUGUCGUUGUUUCGGCUCUUUCAUUGUCCAUCUCUCGGUGCUGCCCUUCUGCGCUUCUUCUUUUUCUUCUUGUGUGCCUACUCUCGCCUCCCCCCGACACACACACACACACAUCACACGGUAGCUCCUGCCCCUCCUUUGGUUUUGAGCUUUCUCGUCCCAGCUUGUAUUCAGGUUACUGCGCGAUCCUCUUUGUUAUAUAUAACUAUAUAUAUAUAUAGUUAUAUUCUCUUUUGUGUACGGAUUCCGAACUCCUCGUUCACAGCACCCCCCGCCUCUUCCUCUCCGUCUUGAAAGCUCUUGCCCCCUCCCCCUUGCCGUCGUCUUAACUUUACGCUGGUCUCGGCGUGACGGGGCUCUUCUUUUCCUUCCCGCUCUUUGUAAGGUUUUCUUCUUCCCUCCUGCCUUAUGCCCUUGAUGGCAUUCCGUGUUUCUGGUAUACACACGCGCAUAUAUACACAUAUAUAUAUAUAUGUAUAUAGAUAUUCCCUUUAAGAGCUGGCAAGCACCGGUCUUAUGCAUGUAUUACUGUUCAUAUCUCUCUUUUCUCGUGUGAGUAUCGGUAAAGGAUGGAUGAUGAGGCUCAUGCUGCUUGGAGCUGAAGUGCAUGCGUGCAUGCGAUACUGCUUUGGUUCGUUAUGCAUGUGCUUGUCCUUGGCUUGUUGCAGCUGAAUACCGGAGAAAGCCGAGAGUGGGUGAUGAGAUGGGGCAACUUGCCUCUCUCUGGCUUCUUCUCAGUGUACGUCUUCUCUUUUUCUUUCACCCGCUUGAACUUCCUUCACCGCAUGCGCAAGCGCGCCAGCGCCUCGACGGCGUGAUCCUGAUGACGCACGGGCUAGCGCGUCUCUUUCUGUACGGGUGCUUUGCCCCCCCCUCCGCCGAAUCAACUGCCUCGCGGCUUUCCGGGCUUGAAGUGCGUGAAUACACAUGUAUACUUCGUGCGCAUCUGAUAUAUAUAUAGUAGAUGGAUGUGCAUGUAGGUGUGUGUGUGUGUACAUGUAUGCUGGGUGCGCGUGCGUACAUGUACGUGCCUAUGUAUAUGUAUAUAUAUAUAUAUAUAAAUGUAUAUAGAUGCCUAUAUAUGACAGUGUGCGUAUGCAUAUAGGUGUGUGGGGGUGUUCAGCGCUUAAUGCUCACCCAACGCCCACCUUCUCCAUCGUUUUACCUUUACCCAGGAACACACAUGAAAAAAGACAAGAAAAGCACCGCGAAAAGGGAACGUUGCAUUGUUUUGCACUCGUUUAUGUUGGCUUAUGCAUGCAAGCAUCCUUUCGAAGCUACGUUGAGGUCUCCAAACUAAGGACUGUGUGCGUGCAUGCUCUCUCGUGGCAUUCGCACUUUAUUUGUGCCUCUUCCUUCGUUGUAUAGCCCUCUCGUCUUUUCUAUGUGUUUGUGUGCAUGUAGGUGUGUGCCCAUUCUCUUCUCGGAUCACCUCCUCAGCAUAUACACCAUCAGAGGGAGGGGGAGAGAAGGAGAGACAAGCACGACGUCGCUCAGCGUGGCCACCGCAUUCUCUUCCAUUCUCUCACUCGUCCCUGCUCCGUUUACGUUUUCUUCCCGUCUUAUUUAGCCCGCUACGCAUCUUCGGUGACGCCGCCGUGCUUCCACCCCCUUUCUCCUACUUUUUUUUGUUUGAUCUCUGCAACAUCCCCUCCACUUUUAUCUACUUCACUUUUUUUUCUCCGAAUCUUGUGUCUCCAUGCGCGCUUCAGCGCGUCACGUGUCGCCAGAGGGAAUGCACAUCGAAAUGCCUGCUCAGUGUGCUUGUGUUUGUGUCUUCGCCUAGGCGUCUUUCUGAGAGGACGAGAGGCGACAUGCGUGCUUUUUCGUUUUUUUUUUAUACCGAUGCUGUGAUUGGUGAUGUUGGCCAUCUUUGCUGCUGUCUCGUUCUGUGCAUGCUGCCUGUUUUGCUUCCUCUCCCCCUUUUUGUGUGCCCUGAACCACGCACAGAAACUACUCACGCCUUGUCGAAAAUCACGAAGGUCCCCGUGUUGCUGUGUUGCGCUUCGUUGUGUGUGUGUGUGUGCUUUAUGCUGUCCUGACGUUGUUCCCUUGUGUGCCGGGUGCAUUCAGGUUUCACCCAAAGAAGGAAACGAAAUACGCCGCUUUCACAUGGUUGCUCGUCCAGCGUGGGCAGAGAGAGACACCGGAGCCACGAAAAGUAUAAGCGGAAGGUGAGGGAGCGACUCCUUUCCUUCGUCAGUUACGUGCUCUCGGUGUCUCUUUGCCUUUCUUCGCGGCAGCCGGAGGCCACCGCACUGUCUUCUGUUUCCAUGUUUGAUUCCCCCCUCCCCCCUCUCCCUUCCUCCCAUGUAGCUGUGACACGUCCUCUCGCUCCUUUUUGGCAUUCCGCGUUGUCUCUUCUUGGUCUUGGAUCUCCCACGCCCUAUUCGCUCAUCUUCGCUGCCCCUCCCUUUCUUUUCGUCUUUUGGUUUGAUGAAUGGUUGACUUUUCCUUUGAUGUGUAUCUUCUACGUGGGCGCGCAUGGGCUGACGCGGACGCGGGCGGUGUGCGUUUUUGUGCGUGUGGAGCGAAGGGCUGCUGACAGCGGCCUUUGUUGUCGUUGUUGUCUCUCUCUCUCCCUUGCACUUUUGUUUUGUUCCAUACUCACCCCAACACCUCUUGUGUUGGUUCCCCUUGCUGAUAUCACUUGUAUCUGCGCGCCAAGUCUGCGCGCGCUCUUUACACUCUUGCGACGGGUUCUUCUGUUCUCCGUCGUACGCCACCCUCCAUCAGCUGUGGCGCUGUUUUCUUCCAUUUUCUCUUCCGGUUUUCGCCUUUUUUCUGUGUUUCUGCGUUCUUUGGACCCCUCCCCCACUCCCACUGCCUCCGACCCGCUCAUGACGUGUAUGCUGGAGCAUCGCUCCCAUGCCCGCUCCCCACCCCCUACGAGUACACCUACGUCGGUGUCCUACCCCUCUACCCCUUUAUCUUUCUUCGUCAGCGCCUCCUCCCAUCCAGAUCCCUUCCUUUCGAACACCCCUCUUCCCCGAAAGCCUAAGGAAAAGACGGAAUCAAGCGGAGCCGUCGGAGGGGCACACCCCUUAUGUCUGUAACCUCCAUGAUGCGCUCUCGUUCUUUCGUGUUUCGCUUUCCGAUCCACCGCUCCCUCGGUUAUCCCUUCUCCUCUUUCACCCCUUGCACGUUUGCCUGUGUGGUGUAGUCUUUGCGGACGGCGACGGCCCCCUCUCCCUUUUUUCCCUGUCCUUGACUCUGGUGUGUGCGUGUGUGUGUGUUGCAAUGCCUCAUCCUCUUUCUUCCUUUCCCUUCUCCAUGCCGAGCGUAUUUUCGUCUGGCUUGUUUUUAUUUUUUUCUUUUUUUUUGAGGAUCCUCUCCCCACCGUCCCUGCCUCUCUCAAUGUUCGACGGAUACGCGGGAGGGAAGGGCAGCUCUGAAUGUGCCACAAAGGCCACUCACUCCUGAUAAGGACAGGGCAACAGAAACGCAUACACAUACAAGGUUAAAUCGCUAAAUAGGAGUGGGAGUGCCGUCGUGUCGGUGGCGGGCCCAACUCGUACCCUGUCCCCUCUACUC
rnacentral:misc_RNA from 1 species